rnacentral:lncRNA from 1 species
GUUGUGAUGCAACAACAAACAACCCCAUAUUCUCAUAACAAAAGAUAUUUAUCUUUUGUUCAUAUUGUGUACAUCAUGAAUUGGCUGCUAUUUCAUGCAGACCCAAGGAAUAGGCCCUGUUUGGUACAUGGAGGUGUCACAGUGAAGGAAAAGAGCAAAGGUGGAAAGAUCAGAUGGCUCUUUGGUUCUGCUUGGAAUUGGUACAUAUCGCCUAUGCUCACCCUCUAUUAGCCAGUGGAAGUCAAUGGCCAAGGCAAAUUGCAAAUUCCUUUUAUAAGCUCCACAGGCACAGGGAGCAAAUAUUCUAGACAACAGUAUAGGCUGUUUAAAGGAGUCUGUCUUUGCCCUCAAAGUCAUGACCCUCAGAGCCAGGGGCUUGGCCUUGAAUCAUUACCUUUUCAAGAAGUUUUUGUCAAGACACAAAGGAAGACCAUACAGAGAAAGAGUUAAAGAGGGAAAAUUGUUGGAUUCUGAUAACUGGCUUGAUGAGCAGCAGGGGUGGAUGCUAAUAAAGUCCAAGAGAAAACAGAAGUUCAGGGGCGACUUCUAAGAUCCCACCUUGGGCGAUUGAUGAAUAAGAGUAGCUACAAUUGAGGUUGCUGCAGAAGGGGCUGCUGUUGCGAGGUCGCAGCUUGCUGGUCAGGCCUGGUCCAGCCUUACAGUGCCUGCUGUCAAGCACAAGCUCGCUGUCUUCAGCAUCUGCCCAGUUACCAUGCUUUUAAAUCCAGCUCCUAAGUCUGAGGUUUACAUCUGGGAGUGGGAAGACAUUUAUGUAAACGGGACUUCUCAUUGCUGCUGGAAAAGGAGAAUGCUGGAGAGUAGCCCAACGACUGCCCGGAAACCUACACUGUGGACACCGCUAGGAGUCUCAAAACCCUGACAGACCAACAGGCAGGAGCUCUCGCUAUGUGAAGGGUGGCCACUCUUCACUCCAGCGUCAGAGAAGACAGAAACCCAGAUCUGCCUCGAGCUUAGCAACCUGACUGGAAUGAACUGGUAUUAUGGAACCCCUGUGAAGUGAGGGUACCAGAAUCCUCAGCGUCUCUGUAUUUGUGUUAGGUUGGAGUCUGCACCCAUAGGUCCCCUCUGGUGGCCACAUCCC